rnacentral:rRNA from 1 species
AACGAACGCUGGCGGCAGGCCUAACACAUGCAAGUCGAGCGAAGCCUUCGGGCUUAGCGGCGGACGGGUGAGUAACGCGUGGGAACGUGCCCUUUGGUACGGAAUAGCCCCGGGAAACUGGGAGUAAUACCGUAUGUGGUCGAGAGACGAAAGAUUUAUCGCCAAAGGAUCGGCCCGCGUUGGAUUAGGUAGUUGGUGGGGUAAUGGCCUACCAAGCCGACGAUCCAUAGCUGGUUUGAGAGGAUGAUCAGCCACACUGGGACUGAGACACGGCCCAGACUCCUACGGGAGGCAGCAGUGGGGAAUCUUAGACAAUGGGGGAAACCCUGAUCUAGCCAUGCCGCGUGAUCGAUGAAGGCCUUAGGGUUGUAAAGAUCUUUCAGGUGGGAAGAUAAUGACUGUACCACCAGAAGAAGCCCCGGCUAACUCCGUGCCAGCCGCCGCCGUAAUAC